rnacentral:rRNA from 1 species
CCUACGGGAGGCAGCAGUGGGGAAUAUUGGACAAUGGACGAAAGUCUGAUCCAGCAAUGCCGCGUGAGUGAUGAAGGCCUUAGGGUUGUAAAGCUCUUUUACCAGGGAUGAUAAUGACAGUACCUGGAGAAUAAGCUCCGGCUAACUCCGUGCCAGCAGCCGCGGUAAUACGGAGGGAGCUAGCGUUGUUCGGAAUUACUGGGCGUAAAGCGCACGUAGGCGGUUAUUCAAGUCAGAGGUGAAAGCCCGGGGCUCAACCCCGGAACUGCCUUUGAAACUGAUAGCUA